CAGUCGAGCGAACUGAUUAGAAGCUUGCUUCUAUGACGUUAGCGGCGGACGGGUGAGUAACACGUGGGCAACCUGCCUGUAAGACUGGGAUAACUUCGGGAAACCGAAGCUAAUACCGGAUAGGAUCUUCUCCUUCAUGGGAGAUGAUUGAAAGAUGGUUUCGGCUAUCACUUACAGAUGGGCCCGCGGUGCAUUAGCUAGUUGGUGAGGUAACGGCUCACCAAGGCAACGAUGCAUAGCCGACCUGAGAGGGUGAUCGGCCACACUGGGACUGAGACACGGCCCAGACUCCUACGGGAGGCAGCAGUAGGGAAUCUUCCGCAAUGGACGAAAGUCUGACGGAGCAACGCCGCGUGAGUGAUGAAGGCUUUCGGGUCGUAAAACUCUGUUGUUAGGGAAGAACAAGUACGAGAGUAACUGCUCGUACCUUGACGGUACCUAACCAGAAAGCCACGGCUAACUACGUGCCAACAGCCGCGGUAAUACAUAGGUGGCA
rnacentral:rRNA from 2 species